UACAGAGGGUGCGAGCGUUAAUCGGAAUUACUGGGCGUAAAGCGCGCGUAGGCGGCUUGGCAAGUCGGGUGUGAAAACUCCAGGCUCAACCUGGAGAUGCCACUCGAGACUGCUAUGGCUAGAGUCCGGUAGGGGACCACGGAAUUCCUGGUGUAGCGGUGAAAUGCGUAGAUAUCAAGAGGAACACCUGAGGUGAAGACGGGUUGCUGGGCUGAUACUGACGCUGAGGCGCGAAAGCUAGGGUAGCAAACGGG
rnacentral:rRNA from 1 species